CGCCUGCGCGCGGUUUCCCGCCCGCCUGAGCACGCCCCGGCUUCACUGGGGGAGCGCCGGCGUGCGGGCGCGGCCGCCAGGCAGCCCGCGCUGAGACUGACGGCUACGCGCGCCGCCACGAUGAGCUCCGUCUAGCCGGCCGUCAAAGUGGGGAUAACGCAAUCGAUCCGGAGGCAAGGCGACGGGCGCUGGUAAACGCUCGGCGCAGCUCUCCAGUGACGCGACCGAGGAGAACAAGCAACACCGGCCUCUUGACUUCGCUCCCCGCCAGUGAACCCCGCAACCCUACGCUGGGACAGAUUUCACUACAGCAUGUGGAGUUUUACAGCUCAUCAUGUUGGAGUUAGUUAAGGAAAAAGGGUUGGUUUUCCAGCUGCAUGAUGUUGGUUGAGCUUACAAAACAGCCCCUAUUAUUCGGAUGGAUUUUAUCUGUGUUGUGGGUCUACUUGUAUUUAAUUUCAAACCACACAAAGGCUUGACGCAAAGUGAAUCUACACAUCCGAUUUACGCUUACAACCAAGGAGUGCAAUGACUGAGGAGUUACUGUGGGCUACAAUCCUUAGAACAAGGAGUUAGACUCGCAGGUGACCUUGCCAAGCUGCACCUCGGGGCGGGACCGGCAGAGCUGAGCGGAAGACAGUGCCCAUCACUCACUCCAGCUGAAGACAAAAUGUGAAACCCAAAUCAUGCUUUGUAAUUAUUGAAAUAAGAAUGCUGUGUAUUUGUCAUUAAA